UUUCACAUACAGUAACAGAUUCUCUGAGUGUCAAAAUGAAAUCUGUCAUCAUAUUUAUUCUUACGCUGAUCAGUUUCUCAGGUUUUUCUCUUAGUAACAAAGUCAACCAGUCUCCACCUGACGUGAUUGAGAGACAAGGAGAAACUGCAAAGAUCCAGUGUUUACACAGUGUGUCCAGUUACAAUCAAAUCAACUGACUCUGCUGGUUGUUAUGAAAACAACAGUCAACUAUUGUGCUCACGAGAGGGAUCUGUCAGACGUGUCACUCUGAGAGCUCCAGCAUUGAAGCAUCAACAUGACAUUUACAGUGUGUUUGAUUUAUUUCACAGCACUGCUAUUCUUGGU